rnacentral:tRNA from 1 species
GCCCGGGUAGCUCAGUGGAUAGAGCAGCGGUUUCCUAAACCGUUGGUCGCAGGUUCAACUCCUGUUUCGGGCACCA